CGAUCCGGAGGCUGGCGCGGAGGGGUGGCGUGAAGCGCAUCUCGGGGCUCAUCUACGAGGAGACCCGCGGCGUGCUCAAGAUCUUCCUCGAGAACGUCAUCCGCGACGCCGUCACCUACACCGAGCACGCGCGCCGCAAGACCGUCACCGCCAUGGACGUUGUCUACGCGCUCAAGCGCCAGGGCCGCACCCUCUACGGUUUCGGUGGCUAGGCAGGCCAUGCUUCGCUGUCACUGUAGUUCUAGUGUUGCUCCGGUUCGCAAGUUGUGCCUGGGUGGCUGGGUGCGGGAAAAAUGCUAGCUUCUGUAGGACUGACGCAAGCAUGUUGGCAUAUGUUGUCUGUUCCAUAUGAGUCAUAUCCUGCAGAAUUGGUAAUGAUGACUUGGUUAGGACUCGCAAUAUGCUCCUUUUGACUAUGCUCUAGUCUGUACAGGUACAAACCGUUGCAGUUCUUUUGCUUUCAGUCUAGGAAUUUCAGUUUCAUGCUAUGGUGCAUCCUAUAUUGCAUAUAUGUGUUGUACAACAGCCUUAUUGCAUAAUGGAUAGGUGAUUACUUGUCUCCAUUUGGUUUUGAUGAGUUAUCGUAUUUGGAUUUGCUUGGAUAGGGUUUUGUUUGUUGUGUAAGAGACUGUAAAUAAAUCACUUGCAGCUGCUGUUUAUAUGUUGCCAUGGAUAUAUACUGAAGCUCGGGGAUAAAUAAAAUCAUAUUGAACGUCUGUUCAUGCUGUCCCGUUGGGCUUGUGGAAGAGAACGCUGACUUGAAUAUGGCCUCGCGGGCUCGCGGCUCUGGUCUUUUGGUCUGGUUUUGGUUUUGGCUGAAUAGUACUAUACUUUUAAUAUGAUCAAGUGUUUUUUUAAGCAAAGGUCGGCCGGAAUUAAUGUGAGACAAAAAAAUUUGACCUUUUGAUCCGUUGCUUGGGUGGAUCAAUGGAGAUCACCAAUGCAUAGACGUUAUCAAAUACUUUCUCUAUACCCAUAAAGAAAAAGAAAGUUGUUUAUAACAAUGAUAUGGUCUUUAAAGUCUAACUUUAACUUCUUAUUUUUAUAAAAAUUGAAAAGUGGUAUAUAUAUAUUUUUAUAAAAAUAUUUUUCAAGACAAAUCUAUUCAUAUAGUUUUUACAUUUUUCAAAUUUAACAACUUAAAAGUUAUUUAGGAUUUAUAUUUCUAAUAUUUUAUCUAAAUUUUUUUCAAAACGAUUUUCUUUAUGAUUAUGAAGAAAGUACUUUUUAUUAUUCACAUUAAUCAGGCUACAUAGGGUGGAUUUUUGUUAUUCGCAUUAGUUUUAGGGAAGAAAACAUUUUUUUUAGAAAACCAAGGUACACUACGAGAUGUGCGCUUCUUCUUGGUGCUCGACGCUCGUCAUUUUCUACCGCAGGGAAAAAAUGAGAAGAGAGAAGAGGUAAAAGGGAGAGGAAGAGAGGUUUAGGUGUGUUUGGUUGGUUGGCUAACCUCCACCUAGGCUCUAGUUAGCCAUCUUCGGACUAUUGUUUGUCACGCCCAACGAGCUUGGCUGCCGGAGUCCCUUGCUCACCGCCUUAGCCAAUGCUCGCCCGCGCCUGUCGUAGCUCGAGCAGGCAGGCGGAGCUCAGUCGAGCAGACCCCCUCCCCGGCCCCUCAUCCGCACCCGUCGUAGCUCGAGUAGACAAUUGGUCUUCCCCUCUACCUGACAAACUCUGUGACGGGCAAAGGAGCCUGCAUCUGCUCUUCCUCCGGCUGUCGUGCUCGUCGUGAAGACCGGAGGCUGGUGUCCUCACUGAGCUCGUCGUGAAGAGUGGGCGGGAAGCUCGCGCGUCGUGGAGCCGUGCUCGCCGAGCUGCCGUGAUGUUGUCGUCCGCUGCUUCCGCCACCGGUCAAACUGCAUCCUCUUCCUCCCAUGUCGGCGGCAUCUUGGAGUGGCCCUCCUCUUGCAGCGGUUGGCAAGCUCCGCCUCUACCAUGCUACUCUGCUGCCCUUCCCUCCCUUAUGUGCACGGAAGCCACGACGGCAAGAUUUGAGCACAAAUUUCACUUCCGGCUUGGUUUUGCGGUAGGACUGCAGCAGCACCAUCCGUCGUCAUCGAUAGCCAAGCUCUGCUGCUGCUAGCUAUUCAUGCUUUGCUGCACACCUGCAGAUUGGUAUUGGAUGUGUUGGGGAUUUGGAUUUUGAUGAAGUUAGACUGGUCGAUUGGAUGCAGUUCUAUAAUAGUUAGGAUUGGAUUGGAUAGGACUGAUUUGAAUGAUUCAGUUGGAUUCCAAUGUUUGGAUUAUCGACAAACCAAGGCGCUCGCCAUGUGUUUGAUGAAUUGUCUCAAAGGAAUGGAGUUACCUAUACAAAGAGCCAAGACAGUCAACCAAACUAACUGCACGCUAGCCAGGCUUAGAUAGUAUAGAUAACAAAACAAGUCCAUCUUGGCUUGUUGAAGACGGGCUUAAGCAAGCUUGACUUAUUUCCUAGCUAGGCUAUGAGUAAGUCAGGUAACCAAACAAACACUUAAGGGCCUACCGCUCUUGUCGUCGUCCGCUACAGCUACCGCCAUAUGCGGUGCUGUUCUUCCUUGGAUAUUUUUUUGUUAGGCGUCGUCUUCUCUUUCCGCUUUUACCCUAAAUCUCUCCACUGCAACACCAAACCCUUGGAAGAAUCUAGCAAAACAGAUCAGGGACAUCAAGACAAGCAAAAAGAGGUGCAUCUUCCAUGGAAAUGGGUCCUUCCCCAUCUCUUCCCGCAUCUUCCAUGGACGAGGAUGUGGCUAGAGUUGCUUCAUUAUCUGAUAGAAGGCAAAGUGCUAAAUUGCUAUAUUAUUGUCGGGUCAGAAGCCUUGAUCCGGCAAUAAUAUCAGGGCUUCCACUAACGCAUAUGGAACCAGCAAUGGUAGGCAAGUCCCGUCACUGUCCAUUGUCCAUUGUCCUCUCUUGGAUCCAAUUUCAGUAGCGAUUUCGGAUUUAGACCCGGCAAUGGAUCUAGAGUAGUGUAAUCAUAUAAAAUUUGAGAGGGUCGUUAAGCUUUGGCAACCUGUAUUCCUAAUAUAUCCUAAUUUUACAUAUCCUGACACCGGACAAUAAUCAGAUCUUCGAUGAACAUUGGAUCUUAAAUAGAACUGUCAUUCUAACAAUUUUUUUAUCAAUAUCUAAAAUCAGAUCUCGAGAAAUUCGAUUUAUCAGUUAAUUUUGUUGUUUAACACUUUUAAUUUAUAAGUUGUAAUACACUACGCCAAUCUCAAUACGGAGUUUUAAUGCAGAGUUACUAAGAGUGCUAGAAUAGGUUUACAAGCGAAUGAAAUAGUGAUCAACGUUACAAAAAAAAGUAAAUGAACUAGUUCAGUACACGGUUUCAUGACACAAAUUUAGCUUGCCAUAUUAUUGAAUUGUUAUAUGAUGCUUUGAUCAGUUAUAGCAUAUAUCAAAAAUAUAUAGCCUUGCAAUUGUAUACAAUUCUUCGUUUAUCUCGCGCAAAAGAUCGUCAAGAGCAUAUAUAUGAAAAUGAAACAAAUCUUGUGUUGGAAAACAUGAUGGAUAAGUUUCAUCCUAAGAUGAAAUAAGAAUGAUCCCACUGAGACCAACCUUAAGCAAUGUAAUAAGUGACACUUAUGAACAUUAAAAUAAUUAAGUUAUUAGUAACCAAAUAUUCCCUCCAUCCCAAAUUAUAAGUUAUUCCAAGAAUCUUGGAGAGUUAAACCAUCUCAAGUUUGACUAAAUUUAUAUGGUAAGAUAAUAAUAUUUAUGGUGUCAACUUAGUAUCAUUACAUUGUUCAUUAAUGAUAUUUUCAUAUUAUACGUAUUUGAUGUUAUAAAUCUUUGUAAUUUUCUCUAUAAUUUUAAUCAAAGUUGAGAUGCUUUGACUCUCUAAUUUUUAGAAUGACUUAUAAUUUGGGAUGGAGGAAGUAUUAUUUAAAAUUAAGGUGGAAGGAAAAAUAAUGUGAAUAUUGUGGUCUUUAUAAAAAGAUCAAUUCAGUGUAUCCAAAUCAUCAUUAUCUGCUUCAGUUUUUAUAUAACAUAUAUUUACAAAUCCUAUAUAACAAUAUAUACAUUUUAAAAUUUGAUAGGAUCCAAGUUCUCAACUCUCCAUUUCUAUCCUGUCAUAUAAAAGAAAAACGAUUGUAUCUUCUGAUCCUAACACAGUAACACAACAGUAUCUUGCUCAUGGCUCUACCUAUACGCGGGAUGCUCGUCCUCGUCAUCGCAGGCUGUGAGAGCUUUGGCAACGUCGUCCAUUGUCGGGCGGUUGCUCCUGUCCUCCAUACACGACAAGGAAAUCCGCACCAUUUCCAGCGCCUGCCGAGGAUGAAACUGCCCCUGCAACCUCCCGUCCACCAAGGGCUCGACGUUGCCUGAAGCCACCACCUGCCUCAAGGCCUGAGCGAUCUGCGACAUGUCCAGGCGCUCCCCGGCAGCCGUCGUCUGGUCACACACCCUGCACCCCAUAACCAUCUCCAGCAGCACGACACCGUAGCUGUACACGUCCACCUUGGCGUUGAUGGGAACGUUGAGCGCCCACUCCGGCGCCAUGUACCCCGUCGUCCCUCUCAUGUGAGAGAGCGGCAUGCCGGCGGCGGCGGCGGCGGCGCUGUCCCUCUUGGAGAGCUUGGCCAGCCCGAAGUCGGCGAUCUUGGCGUCGAACUCGCGCGUCAGCAGGAUGUUCUCCGGCUUGACGUCGCAGUGGAUGACCCACUCGAGGCACUCGUGGUGAAGGUAGGCUAGGCCCCUGGCCGUGCCCAGCGCGAUCCUGUACCGCUCCCGCCAUGGCAGCGUCGUCGUCGUCCUGUCCGUGUCGAACAGGUGCCUGUCCAGCGACUGGUUCUCCACGUACUCGUACACCAGCAGCUUGUGCUUGCCCUGGGAGCAGAAACCCCAGAUCCUGACGAGGUUGAUGUGGUUGAUCCGUCCGAUCAGCGUCAUUUCCGCCCAGAAUUCCUCGUCUCCCCCCGCCACGUUCGUCAGCUUCUUCACGGCCACCACCUUCUUCCCUUUGUCCAGCACGCCGCGGUACACGACGCCGGAGCCGCCCCGGCCCAGCUCCUCCUUGAAGUUCCCCGUCGCGUCCUUGAGCUCUCGGUACGUGAACCUCCUGAACUGACCCGUGACCAUCCUGUACCCGGCCUCCAGUGAGCUGGGUAGUAUGCUCUGCUUGCUGGAGAGGAACCACCAGCUUGUUGCAAUGAAGAUGAUAUCAAGAACUCCCAGCACUCCGGCGAACGCAAACAGGUACACCCACUUCGUCCCGUUGUUUUCUGUUCUACUGAAUGUUCCUUCUGAUCUUUGGACGAUCACGGAAUUGUUAGGAUCACAGGCAAGGCCUGCGGCGCUCCGUGCCAUGACGAGAGGCGCUGAGGCGUUGAAAUCGAUAGGAACUUUCAGGUAGAUCGUCCCGGAGAAAGCUGAAGACGUGAAGCCGUUGAACAGAAUGCUCUUCGGGUAGCAGACGCCUUGGCCUUCAAGCUUGUAGGAGAAUCCGACGCACAAGCACAUCUUCAAGCAGAGUUUCUUGCAGUACUCGAACGUGACGGAUUGGUUGAAUUGCAGAUCGUAGCCGUAGAAGUCACUGUGCGGCAACUUGAGGAAUUUAAACUGCUGCUCCGGCGACCACGGCUGGCUGCAGUUGGUGACCGUGAACAUCGGCUGGCAGCCUUUCCGCCAGUCCUGCCGAUCCACCAUCUCGUACGCCGGCGGGCACGAGCACCUGAGUCCCGGCUGCUGGUACUCGCAGAGCGCGUUCUGGCCGCACAGCCCGUGCGUGGAGCACGGCUGCCCUAGCGCCGCCCAUGUCACCGCCCAGCCCCCUGUGGACGCGUUCAUGCUGUAGAUUCUCACGUUGCCGUCCCGAUCCAUGGUUAGCCGCCUCUUGACGCCGGGGCCGAAGUCGGAGGCAUGGACUCCCAGGUUGUCGCUCGACAGGAACACGCCGUCGUCGUCGAGGACGCCGAUCCUGGAGCUGUUGUAUGUCGUCCGGCCGUUCUGGAACGGGUCGUUCAUAAGAUUAUUUGGCCAGUAGAUGCUCGAUAUGUUGGGGCUGUCGUAGAGGAGACGCAGCACGUUGUCGUUGUCGUAGUAGAGGCUGAAGUAGCCCGCGACCAGCUUCUUGUCCUUGGUGAGCGGCUGCGACGGGACCAGUGUGUCCGUCGGCCAAUCGAAGCUCUGCCACAAGGUGCGGCGGCCGCCGCCGCCGGUGGCGGUGGACGGGCGGUCCGAGAUGAGGAGGUUGCCGGUGUCGAGGAGGGAGAUGGUCAGGUCGGCACCGCCGCCGCCACUCGUCUUGCUCUCCCACACCGUGCUGCCGUUGGCGUCGUCGAGGGCUAGGCCCCCGUCGCGGCGGAACGAGAUCCUAGAGCCCCGGCCGUUCACGGGGGCGCCGGGGUUCGCCGUCCAGAUGGCAGUCUUCUCCGUCGCGUCGGUGUACCAGACGGAGAAGGAGAAGGCGUUCUCGCCGGCGCCCUGGAAGCCGCAGGAGAAAGUGCCGUCGGGGGAAGUCAGGAACGGCCGCCCGUGGUCUUCCACCGACAGGGAGGAGCCGGUGCCUAGCGUGUGCGGCUGUGCUGGCUCUGGCGCUGACGGACACGGCACGACGACGGCGAGCAGCAAGACGAAGCCCAGACAGGUUCCAUACCUUGCCAUCGUUCCACGCUGCUGCAACCGGAGCGUGCUAGCUAGGUGAAUAAUGGCCACUGAUCUGCCCAUGCAUCAGUCAUGCACACAGAACCACAACCUAUCUUCAGUCGUCUUCAGAUAUAGCUCUGGCUCCACCGGUAUGAACGCAUGCGUCCGGGCAAGGUACCGGUCGAUCUCGAGAAGAUUACUUUGGUCUUCCAUCGUGUAGCGUAUGCCGUAUAGUUAACGUAGAUCGACUACAUGGAUUCCAGGGAAUUGAAACUUUGAUUAGUUGACGAUGGAAGUGACAGCCUGACAGGGAUAUACAGGAACAAGCAGCGAGUGACACAAUAGGGCCUUGUUUUUUUUAUUUCGCUACUGCAGCACUUUCGUUUGUUUAUGACAAAUAUUGUCUAAUCAUAGACUAACUAGGAUCAAAAGAUUCGUCUCGUGAUUUACACACAAACUAUGUAAUUAGUUUUUGUUUUCGUCUAUAUUUAAUGCUUCAUGCAUGUGUCGCAAGAUUCGAUGUGACGGAGAAUCUUAAAAAACUUUUUAGAUUUUGGUGAGAACUAAACAAGGCCUAGGUAAUAAAUGAACAACAAUGUGGGUCCAGAUCACCGUCUGAUAGAUCAUGGAAUUAUUAGGCAUACUUGCCAAGUUGUUCGGUGUUCCUUAGUCCUUACAUACAUGCGGGGGCAUGCUUGUGAUGGUGGACACUGGACUGACGGGAGAGAGAACACCGGGUGUGGGAGAGAGAAUGACGAUAGAGAGUGUCGAGAGAGGUCUCGGUGGGUAUACUGGCUCCAGUUUUCACCGUUGGCAUGUGGGUAGAACCGGCACUAAAAACUAGCCUGCUUUUCAUUGUUGGUUUCAAGCCAUGUGAUGAAUUGAAAAUCAUUUUCAGUGCCCGUGACCGAAUUGUGUAAUAAUUAGUCUCAUUCUACCUUAUGGUAGAUAAAGUCGGAUAUAAACUAUCCGUUAGUUAAAAAAAACAAGUUGUAAAGGUGAAGGGGACUAGGAGAGAGGCGAACCAGACCAGCCGCAAGCAACAAUGAUGCCAGAACGAAGAUGGCUUUGUGUGUCCAAGGUAGAGACUAGAGAGUCACGGAUCAUUGUUUUUAACAUUCAUGCAUGACUCCAAACCUCUCAACACAUAGGAGUAUAUGUCAAUUAUUCAUCAAAAUAAAGCAGAUCAAGACACACAUUUCAACAACUUGGUCUCUCAAACAAUAAGUACUGGAGGUCUUGAUUCGAUUGGUCAUCUUCCAGACAAUUGGAUGCCACUUCUUUCACGCUAUCUAUGUUGUCCGUAUUCUGCCAAUUGGCCUAAGCUUGCAGACUCCAUGAAAUAUUGUAUCCUGUCCUUAAUUUUACUUCCCCUAUAACUUCGCUAUAUUCCAAAGAUGGCAACGCCGCCGUCGACUUUGAACAAAACAUUUCCACACGAUGUUGUAUAUGAAGCUCGAUCGCGACUCAGCAGUCAGCAUGCGAAUCGACUCGCAUAUUUGAAGAAAACAAACAAGCUUGACGCCUUCGAUCCAUGCUGUUUGGUUUGUAGGAAAGUAACACAAAUGGAAAUAAAACCGAAUUACAUCCUAUAUGUUGCCGAAACAUUGAUAACUUUAAUUUCAUUAAUUACAUUUGCAUUACUAAAUCUCGAGAAAGUAAAAUGUGCCCUUAAAGGCAUACUCCUUAUGGAUUUAAAAGUUGUUUUAGACAAUGUUUAGAUCAAACAUUGAGGUCGAGACGGACAAGUUUGAGGAGGCGUCCAUUGAGGAGUUUCAGGAGGUUGUCGCCACAAGACCGCUCCAUGUAAGGCGGGAAGCCAUAGAGGCAUUCUUUCCAAGAAGAUGCCUUAUUCGUGAUUUGAUGAGAGACGUUGAAUAGGCCAAGCGAUUAUGCGCCCUGCCUCGACGUACUCACGAUCACAUUCUAUAGUGUCGUAUAGUCCUUAGAUAGUGCUGUAAUCGCUAGACUCUUGCUCUAGCUUUUCGGUAUUCUUGCUUGGUCCCGUACGCUAGUGUCUUGCCAGCGGAUGUGGAACAAUGCCAGUGGAUAUGGAGGGAGUAUGCCCUUAGCACAUGGACCAUAGGAUUCACAUUGAGAUGUGUGCGUGCACACUUUUUAAUGUGAAUCUGCACUUUUUUUAUAAAGGAAAGAUUUUAUUAAUUCACUAUCAUUACAUCGAGAAGAUACAAUAAAAGUGAAUUCACUCCCGGCUUGUGCCAAAGCACACAGCCAAAAUAAAGAAAGCCCAACACUCUAAUGGUCAUUAAUUCUAAGACUAGAUCACCACCCAUAUGCCUGGGAGAAAAAAACUGUAGCCACUUGCAUCAACUGUUACGAUGCCUUCAACACCAAAGCCCGUAUGAAGGGCUUUCGGAGGAUAACCCAUAUGCGGAACCAAUGGAUUACCGAGAAAACUACCUGCAAGGGAGAGUAAACAAGUUCAAAUCAUUUCUGCAUAACCAAAUCGACUAACACAAGUAGCUGCUGCACCCAACAUAAUUAUAGGUUUGAGUUCUUUCUGAAAGCCUUGAAGCCAACUCCCAAAGAGAUGAGGAAUUCUAUGAGGUUGGGAAAGAUUCAACGCCACUUUAAUGUAGCCCCAAAUUACCCGUGUAAAUCGGCAUUCGAAGAAAAGGUGCUUAAUUGUCUCAUUCUCAUGACAAAAGCAACACUUCUCACUGCCUUUGCUAAUUAUGCUUUGCUAAGUUGUCUUUUGUUAAGAUAACUCCCCUUCGAAGGUAACACAUAAAAAUCUUUAUUUUUAGUGGGGCCUUUGUUUUUCAAAUCAAUAUUUAAGAUUGGGACGUCUUGAUGGAUCAAAGCCAGAUAUUGUGACUUCAUUGACAAUUGGCCUUUUAGGUCCAAAUUCCAAUGAAACACAUCUUAUUCCAGUGAAACAUAUCUUGUCCAAAUUCUGCAUUUCGAUACGAGUUUUACCCCUCUUAAUAGUACGCUUAUCAAUCCUAAACCACUCACACUCUCCACAGUGUUUUGAGUGCAAACCAAAAAGCUCCUAACCAAUUAUACCUUUGCCUUGAGUUUUUUUAUUUUUCUCUUUCUUUUUUUCCAAGCCCGAGCAUGAUCACCUUAGUUCCACUAUCACCAUCAUGAUCAUCACCCAUAUUGCUCACCGUUUGGAGUGUGCUUUCCUAUCUCAUGAACACUAAGAGCAAUAGAUUAACACAUAGGGUUUCAUCAAUUCACCAAAACCAAACUGGAGCUUUCAGUGUGAUUGGCAGCCGCGGGUCAAGGAAGGGUCACAUAAUGCACGGGGGGAGGAGUGCGCGUACGUGGUGAUGGGCAUUCAUCUCCAACAAGAGAUGGAAUCAAGGUGAACCUUGGGCCUUAUUUAGUCCAUAAUUGGAUAAUAAUUGCCAAAUAAAAAUGAAAAUGCUACGGUACCCAAAAGUAAAAAAAAAAAGAGAACUAAACAAGGCCCAAGGUGAACUGCACACAUUGCCUCGGCUCGAAGCUGUUGGGCCUAGCCUAGAUAUGAAUUCCAGACGCUUAAUUUUAGAGGCCUGAAACUGAGAUUGCUAUAUGGGCUGACCGCUGGGGGGCUGUCUAGCAUGCCUCCAACCAAAGAGGCCCGAGGUUCGGUGCGUACGCAGGCCCGGGCACAACAUUUCAGACUUCUGACCACGAGAUCACGGGAACUGCUUAAAGGCGGCCGAACGUCUCGCUCGCCGUUCGGUCAGCGGCUCCGGCCUCCGGCCUCCGGGGGUUCUACUCGACCACACCAACGGCCGCUCGGGUGAAGGGAUCACUCAUUGUCCGCGCGCUGCCGCCGCACGUCGGAGCUGAUAAACUUGCCCCGCCGCCCGUGCAUCGUGCUCGUGCAGUGCAGCCAGCCGUUCUGGAGCCAACAGCCGAGCCCUCGGUGUAUCUCGCCCGCGCCGGCAGCAGUUCCCUCAGGCCACCGCGGGCCCCAACAAACCUCUCCGCUCGGCUGCGGCACCGGUAGGCUUAUCUGGCAGGUGAGGCUUCUCCCAUAUCCUUUUGCUCUAGUUUUUAGUGAUUAAUGUCUCUGGCAUUCUGACGAACACCAUGUGGGCACUGACGAGCCUGCUUUGUUUCCAUUGCUGAUAUUUAGCGCUAGGGUAAUCCGGUAUUCCUGUAAUGGAUCGCUUGGCUGUUGGCUCAGUUUUAUGAUACUGCCUCUGUUAACUGGUAAUUUUGCCACACGUUAGUGCUGCAAACCUAACGCUUGUCAGUUUGUCGUAGAACUAGUUUAUUCAGAUGCUUAUGUAUGUUGCAAUUUGCUUUUUUUCGGAAGAGAGAAAGAAAAUAAGACCAGAUGAGAGAUAGUGUUUUGGCUAGCGUGUUCUUUUGAAUUCGAGGGCACAAUUUUCAGAUUCUUAAAUUCGUGAAGAAAUUUAAUGCAACACAAUGCUUCCACCUGUAGUCACUCCUCCCUCGUACAGGCAUGAUGUGUGGCCUCUUGUCGACGCAAAGUUGGGGUUCAACAAAGGUUGACUAAAAUUUUGGACACUAUUCUGUCAUAAUGUUAUGCAGCAGAGGAUCUAAGAGCAAUGCAAACAAAGUUCUUUAUAUGUACAUGGAACCAAUAUAUGUUAAAACGAAGUGAAUUAGAAAGCUUAAAAACAUACUUCUUCAUAGUUUAAUGCAGCAAGAAAUAUUACUAAUUUACUACAAGAAUAUUCACUGUGAUGGCUUUAGUCUUUCAUUGACCACUUUUAAUCACAAGCAAAUUGGAUUGGCUAAGCACCAAGGAAAAUUAAAAUGAACUUAUAUACUCUCUCCAUUAAAAAAAUGAAGUCCAUUUAGUUUUUCCUAAAUCAAACUCGUCAAACUUUGUCCAAGUUAUAGAAAAAAUCACCAAGAUUUACAAUGUCAAACUAAUUUCAUUAAACCUACUACGAAAUAUGUCAUGAUAAUGUAUUUAUUUGGUAUCAUAAAUGUUAAUAUACAUUUCUAUAAACUUGGUCAAAAUUAAAGUAGGAAGAAACUUAAGCAACUUACAUUUUGGAUUGGAGGGGAGUAGAAGUAGAAUAUAAAAAAAAUAAAAUAGUAUAUUAUAAUGGAAUCUGAAGUCUACCUCAUGGUUUAGGUAGGGAGUAGGGACUGCUGAUGUAACAUAUUCUAUCUAGGGAUAACUCUCUAGGCAUAUCCAAAUAUUAAAGUCCUUUAUCACCUUGUCACAUGUUAGAUUCACUUGACCCGUACCUCUUCUUAAGUUCACAUAUUAUUUUCACGCCUUAGGAAUCCACUAUGCUUUUGUGUCUCUAGGGGCCUGUGUCGGAUAUGUCCAGACCAUCUCAACUAGUUCUAGACAAACUUUUGUUCAAUGGUUCUACCCCCAGCUGUCCUGUCUAUCGCCGUUAGGGGCAAGCCUAGCGCAAUUCAUGGGUAUUCACCCAUUACUUUUGCCAAAAAACCUUUUUUUUUAGCAAAACCGGAGCUUCAUUUAUAUAUCAUGAGAAGGAUACAUUCUGCUUCCAUAAUACCCCGUAAUCCUGGUGGUGGUUCAAGCCACUUCUCCACCAGAUUAUUUCCGGAUACUAAUUUAGCACAUUCAUGAGCUAGUAUUACAUUCUCUGCUCGAAUAAACAAAACUAAACUCAACAAAGCUGUGUCUGAGGUCCUGAAUCUGCUGAAGAAUGGGGCCGACUUCUGAAUUCUGGCACAAACGUUUCUCCCACAGCCUCACCAGGACUUGUGAAUCAGUUUCCAGCCGUAGCCGCUGCAUUCUAUGUUCUCGCGCAAGCUGCAAGCAACACUCCAUCGUGGCAAGCCAAUGCUUUUGUGUCCAGGACAUUGAGGCAACUGUCAUACCAUUUGGCUCGGCCUGCAAUGCAUCUUCCAUCGUGAUCAUGCAGCACCACACCGGUGACUCCCCAUCGAUCUUCCACACGGAAAGAAGCGUUGACAUUGCAUUUGAUCCAUCCCGGCUGAGGCCGUUGCCAAUGCUGCCGAGCACGCUGCACCUCUUCUGACUUAGCCGGGUGUAGGAGCUGCCAUAAAUCAUAAGUUGUAUCCCUAGCCCAUUCAAUUGCUUUCCUCAUCGGCACACCUGAAUCACCAUGUUGACAUUGGUUCCUUGCCAUCCACAGGGACCACAUACCACAUAGGAUGACUGCUGCAUCCUUCUCUGAGCAACAGCUGGAAUCAACAAUGUCUCUUGUCCAUGUCUGAGGGUGCAAUUUUGGUAGCUUCACUCCAGUUAGCUCUCUGGUCAUUUCCCAGAAACGUUUGGCCACCGUGCACUCCACAAGCACAUGUCUGAUGGACUCCUCAUCCACGCCACACACAUCGCAGUUGGGCACCCGUUCAAUGUGACGCUUGAAUAAGACACCCUUUUCCGUGUUUCUCCAGAUCCCAAGCCCAUCUGUCAUCCCCAGUACCUCUGAUUGGCGUGCUUAGGAUGGCGUUAGCAUCAACUCCCACAAAAAAUUGCUUGAUCAAGGCUUCAUUCCAGCCUCCGCUUGCUGUGAUCAGUUCUGACACCGAGGUGACCGACGGAUUAUCAGGCACUACCAGCGGCUUGCCAUCAAAGUGGUUUGGUAGCCAUCUAUCAUGCCAAAUGUUUGUCAGGUUUCCAUCACCAAUUCUCUUCACUAGCCCUUUGUUCAGCACCUCUCUCCCAGCUAAAAUUGCACGCCACGUCUGACUGGCGUGUUUCCUUCUGGAUGCUGUUAGAAAAUCCGCAUCAUGAUAAUAUCUUCCUUUUAAAACCUUUGCACGUAGCGAGUCCGGGUUGUCAAUGACUCUACAGCCCUGUUUUCCUAGCAUUGCCAAAGAACAGCCGUAGAUCCCUGAAACCCAUUCCACCCGCUAUCUUCCAUCGGGUGAGGAGCUCCCAACGUUGCCACUUGCUAGUAAGAUGAAGACGGUAAUUUGCUGAACUCCCACCCAAUAAUUCGAGAUUACCGCCUUCAUCUUACGGCAAGUGUCUUUUGGAAUGAGAAGCCAGCUCCUUGGAUAGGUAGGGACUGCCUGCGCGACGGAUUUCAGCAGUACCUCCCUCCCCGCGCAACUCACCUCCUUCCCACUCCAUGCGCCUACCAACUUCUUCACUCUGGUGGGCAUGUACUCAAACGCCUCCUUAGUUGAGCGUCCAAGGGCUGUGGGGAGGCCUAGAUACUUCUCUGCCAGUGCCUCCUCUAUUUGCAUCACCUACUUCACCUCAUCCUUGGCCUCAUUCCGGCAAUUGGAGCUGUAAAAGAUGGCAGAUUUAUCUUUGUUUACCAACUGUCAAGAGCUGGCACUAUAGAUUCUCAAAACUUCCUGGAGUCAAUCAGCCCCUCUUUGCGACGCUUCAGAAAAGACAAUGCAGUCAUCCGUGUACAGCAAGUGCGAAAUCCAGGGGGCAUGAAUCCCAAUUGACCUUAGGAGACAGGAUAAACCUUCUGAACAAAGCAAAAAUAAAUAUGGCGAGAUUGGGUCACCUUGUCGAAUGCCCCUUGUUGGUUUAAAAGGGGUAGAAAGAUGACCAUUCACCCGCACUGAAAAUGAGACCGUGGUGACACAUCUCAUCACUGUUGUCACAAAAUUCUCUGAGAAGCGAAGCUGAAGCAUAAUGCCUUGUAAAUAUGCCCAUUCAACUCGGUUGUAAGCCUUUGCCAUAUCAAGCUUGACAGCACAAGCUCCCAUCUUCCCCUUUUUCCUCUUCAAAUAGUGAAUACACUCGUAGGCAACAAACACGUUGUCUGUUAUCAAGCGUCCUGGAACAAAUGCGCUCUGUGUCUCUGCCCCCCUUUUGCCAAAAAAAAAACUAUGUAGGCCAUCAAUAAACUGUUUCUUUUUAUCCUUAAAUUUUUUUAAUACACACUCUCACAACACUCCCUCCGUCAUGUAAUAUAGUAUAUUCUAGCAUUCAAAAUUUGUCCUCAAAUAUAAUGCAUUUUAGAGGACAAAAUUUUUUUUCAUUAAAUAUUUUCCAUUUAUCAAUCAAUCAACAUUAAUCAUGUUGAUGAUAGCGUAUGAUUAGGAAAUAAAAAUUAGGGUACAUGCGUCUUUUAUGUUCUCUCUUAAUUUGUCUUAAAAUUCCUAGAAUGCACUAUAUUGCAGGACAGAGGGUUGAAGCUUCGCGCAUAAAGACCAACUGAUGAACCCAUGAUAAUAUUUACCAGAAGUGUGAAGUAAAAAACAAUGCUUCAGGGUCCCAUUGAUCCAUUGCAGUUAAAGGAUCUGGAUUUAUCCAUAGAAGGAUUCAUACAACAAAAGGACUGGAUCAUUUUCUCUAGCAAAUACUCCUUAAUUUUAAUAAUAUUCGAGAAUUCAAUUCUUCAUUUUGCAAAGCAAAACAGGAUCGCUUAUUGCAACUCACCACGAGUAGGCAGGGUGAUCGUCUUGGUCAGCACAUGCCAAGAGCUCUAUUAUAAUAUCGUUCAUUGUAGGCCUGCUGUUCCUUUCUUCAAGACAAGCUAUACCAACUUGUAACAUUACCUUUGCUUGCUCAGGAUUGAAAUGACCUUGCAGUCUAUGAUCAACUAUAUCCUUCACAUCUCCACUCUCAAGAAAUUGCUUCAAGCCCUGCACAAACUGUCUAAGCUCGAUUUCCAUCCCAUCGACAGUUAUCCCACUUGAUAUCCUAGUACCUGUCAAAAUCUCAAGAAGGACGACACCAUAACUGUAGACAUCAACUUUUGCAUUGAUUGGCAAGUUUAACGCCCACUCUGGUGCCAUGUACCCCAUUGUUCCUCUCAUAUGUGUGAGGUUGAAACUAGAGCUGCCUCUCUUUGAGAGUUUGGCUAGUCCGAAGUCUGCUAUCUUAGCUUCAAAAUCUCGUGUCAGGAGUAUGUUCUCUGGUUUUACAUCACAGUGGAUCACCCACUCAAGGCACUCAUGAUGGAGGUAGGCCAAGCCUCUUGCUGUUCCCAAUGCUAUUUUGAAUCGCUGGCUCCAUGCAAUUAAUCUCUCACUGCUUACAUUGCCAAAUAGAUACCUGUCAAGUGAUUCAUUCUCCACAUACUCAUACACUAGUAGUUUAUGUUGUCUCUCAGAGCAGAAACCCCACAUCCUUACUAAAUUCAUGUGGUUAAUCCGCCCGAUUAUACUCAUUUCUGCCCACAAUUCCUCCUCACUGUGUGAGAAGUUCGUUAGCUUCUUCACUGCCACUACUCGCUUAUCUUCGAGCACUCCUCUGUAAACAAUUCCAGAGCCCCCUCUUCCAAUCUCCUCCUUGAACUUCCCAGUUGCUUCCCUUAACUCUUGGUGCGUGAACAUCCUGAAUUGGCUUGUUACCAUCCUGUAGCCUGCCUCCAUUGACUUGGGAAUGUUUUGCUUGCUGGAAAGAAACCACCAACUUGUACCAGUAAAGAGCAGUACUAGAGCUCCCAGUAUUGCUGCAAACACAUAAUAAGUUGUCCAUUUUUUAUCGACACUGCUCAUUCCAUACAUACUUGCAGAUCCUUCUACAAUCUCAGGAAUAUUCCGGUUGCAUGUGAGAUGAGACUUUCUGGAGACUAAGGAUGUCGAUAUGCCCAAAUCCUUGGGUAGUUUUAUAUAGUUGUCACCAGGAAAGCUUGGGUCGCUAUAGCCAUUGAAGAGAACAGCUUUAGUGUAGCAAAGUCCAGGUCCCUUCUUGUAUGUGAAAGCAGAGCAGGAGCAGGCAUCCAAGCAAAUUUUGCUGCAUUCUUCAAGUGAGACGGACUGGUUGAAGGUCUGAUCGAAGCCAUAGAAGUCAGUCCGAGGGAGCUUGAUGAACUGAAACUCUUCUAUGUUGUUGCAGCUUUUGCUGAAUUGUGGUCGACAACCUUUGUUCCAAAUAUGUGGAUCAAUCAUCUCAUGUCCUGGUGGACAUGAGCAAUGAAAUCUUGGCGAGGACUGGCAUAUCCCAUUUUGUCCACAUAACCCAUGCACGUCGCACAUUUUUGCUAUGGCCUCCCAUGAGAUUAUCCACUUCCCAUCAGAUGCAUUCAAGCUGUACAUUCUGAGGUUUCCAUCAUAAUCAACCGUAAGCCUUCUUUUGAUUACAGUACCCCAAUCAGAUGACUUUAUGUUCAGCCCAUCACUUGAGAGGAAAUAACCUUCAGCAUCAAGGACCGCAACCCUUGUGCUAUUGUAAUUUGUUCGCCCAUUUUGGAACACACUGUAGUCUGCACUUGGCCAAUAGAUGCUUGAUAUAUCCGGUCCAUCAUACAUGAGGCGCAGCACAUUGUCGUUGUCAAAAUACAGGCUAUAGUAACCAGAGACUAACCGUGUUGCUUUAGUGAGGGCCUGAAAAGGCAGCAAGGUGUCAGUUGGUGAAGAAAAGCUUUCCCAUAGAACUGCGCCAUUGGAGUCUCUGAUGAUAAGGUUGCCCGUAUCAAGAAGGGCAACUGUUGUGCCCUUCCCAGAACUUGUCUUGCUGUCCCAUGUCACGGUGCCAUUGACACCAGUGAGGACCAAGUUGCCACCAUGGUUGAGCGAAACCAUGGAGCCAUGGCCGUUCACCGGGGACUUGGGGUUUGCAGUCCACACGACUGUCUUCUCCAUGGUAUUGGUGAACCAGAUAGAGAAGGAGAAAGCAUUCCCUCCAACUUCAUAGAAGCCACAGGAGAAAUCAGCAUUGGGUGAGGUAAGGAAACUUUGUUUGUAGUCUUCUACCAGUAAGGAUGAACCAGUGCGUAGCAUCUGCUGGGGCGAAGCAUAUGAGGAUGGAAGAAGGGUGAGCAAGGGAAGAACGAAUAGAGAGAGGAACCUGGCCAUGUUUUCCGGGUCUUGACUCUUGAGGCAUGGUAUGGUGCCUCCAUUUAUGAUGGAUCGUGAAUUUAUCUUGUCCUGUUUCAGUACCCAUGCUGGCCGCCUUCGGGAAGUCAAGUCUUUGGCGGAUGCUGCAACUUGUACGCCUGAGCCAGGAACAGUAGGUCUUUCUUCACACUGAUUAUCUCACGUGUCAUUCAUGGUCAUGGCGGCUUAGAGAAAACAGAAAGGGAUGAAUUAUGUAAAUUUUUUAAGCCCCUCUUAUUUUAUGGUUGAAGGGAGGUAUGAAUGCAAAUAAUUCUGUUUACCCUUUAUCCAUUUCAGGUGUUAUACUUCAAUAAUGAAAUAUCUCGGCCCUUCAAUUGCUCUUAUAUAAUACUAUAGUUUUGAUAUCAUUGGGCAUCCAUCAGAUGACGGCCGUUAGAACUGGCAACAGAAGUUUGUUGGGGUCAACCACAAGCUACGCAUAUUUGUCAACAUCAUCAUAUUUGUGAUUGUAGGAGUAAUAUUUGUUUUCUUGGACGUUCUGUUCAUGAAUGAGAAAUCAAGAAUGAUUGGGUAUAUUAGCCUAUUGUUAAUUCAAUGAGGUUGUGCCCAUCCUUUUCGGGACGGGGACGUGUUGUCGUGUUGAGACUCAUUUGAGCAUUCCUGUUCGUUUGAACUUAUCAGCUGUCAGCUAUCCAGCAGUAUUUUUCUUUUAUAAUAAAUUAGUCAACAGUACUUUUUAUCAUGGUUUAUCAGCCAACAGUCCAUUAAAUUGCUAGUUGUGGCAGAGGGGCAGAGUCGUUAGCAGCCUCCCAGUUGCAGUGCCCUGUUCGCUACGGUGACAGUGACGGUUUUAUAAUGGACUUCUGAGUUCUGACCAAGAAACUUGUGCAGAUCAUGCAUGACGUUGCCACUAUUCCCAGAUAUUAACAUUAACAUCAUUAUGAUAGUAAUAUCUAUUUUUCAAUUCUUGGGUGCAAACGUGAGCUGGAGUUGUUUUUUCCGCGUGAUGUUUAUGUUCCUACUGAUUGGUAUGAACUGUGAACCGCCAUAUGAAUAUUCUAUACUGAAUCGUAUCUGGUUCAGAGCUAGCCGGCGAUGAAUUUCUUGAAUCAGGUGUCUGUUUCAUUGCCCAUUUUCUAGGGACCUUGUAAAAUAAAGAGCUGUUCAAAUAAAGAGUUGCCAAAUCCAUGAGUUUAGCAACGCGGCAAAAUGAUUUUGAAGCCAUUUUUGUGCUUUCUUUUUCCUCCAAUAGUUUUCAAUAUUUUGUUCUAAGAAAAUGAAACUGGUGCCAUAUCAUCCCAUUUCUCCUAGUUUCUUCAUUGUCCGGGCACCGUAUUGCUGGCCAUGGGCGGUUGGGAGGAGGGCAGGUAUCGGCGGGCGGCAGAAGACACAUGCGAGGAAGAAAAAACACACAAAAAAAAAAGGAGAGACAAGUGGCUAAGAGCAAAUAUUAUAAUACAGCCAGGCUGUAAGAUUUCUUUACAGCCUUCUUACAGCCCACUCUGUCUCACAAGAUUUUUUUGGUUUUUGUGUCUGAGUCUCUUCUCUUCUCUCUCCUCCACCUCAGCAUUUAGCUGGCUUACAGCCUACUAUAAUACUUGCUCUAAGCAAUUAGGAAAGGGCACAUGCACGAAUAUAAAUGAAGGAAUGAAUGAAUGAGUGUCACCAUCGUUUUAGCAAGCAUGGAAAGCUUGGCAGCAAGAAAGCGAAACUGGUUUUGCAUGUCUCUCCUAUGCCUUCCCCAACGCUACAUGUUGGUGCUGCAGGUGUCCGAUCUGUAUUAGUUUGCAGAAAUCUAGUUAGUCCAUAGUUAGAUAAUAAUUAUUAAAUAUAAACAAAAGUGAUCUAGAGAUAGUCAAGGCGAUCCUCCACGCUUUUGGAAAUUUCUCAGGCCUCCACGUAAAUCUUGAAAAAAGCUCCAUCCACCCAAUUAGAUGCGAGGAGGUCGACCUGGAUCACGUGCUCUCCUCCUUUGAAGGGAUCAGAGGCACCUUCCCUUGCCGUUGUCUGGGUUUGCUGCUCCACACGCGUGCGCUUCGGAAGGUCCAUGUACAGCCCCUAAUCGAACGCAUCGGUCAAAGACUUCCUAGAUGGAAAGGAAGAUGGCUCAACAAAGCUGGCCGCCUCACCUUAGUCUCGUCAGUCCUCUCAUCCAUGCCCACUUACCACCUCACGGUGUUCCCGCUCGCGGCUUGGGCAAGGAAAAAAAUAGAUAAAAUAAGGAGAUCUUUUCUUUGGAAAGGAGAAGAAAACACAAAUGGAGGACAUUGUUUGGUCAAUUGGCCGACAGUAUCAAGGCCCAAAGACCUGGGCGGGCUAGGGAUACUAGACUUAGAGAGGUUUGGAAGAGCUCUCCGUCUACGCUGGCUAUGGCAAGAUUGGGUGGAAGAGUCCAAACCUUGGACGGGUGCGGAAUUACCUUGCAACGACCUUGAUCGGCUGCUCUUCAAUGCAUCAACAAAAAUCACAAUUGGUGACGGUGAAAAGGCCCGCUUCUGGCACAACAGUUGGUUGGACGGCGAGGCCCCAAGGCAUCUAGCGCCCCACUUGUUCGAGCUAGUCAAAAGGAAAAACAGGUCGGUCAAGCUUGAACUUCAAAACAAUAACUGGCUUCGAUCUCUAAGCGGCCGAAUCACCACCGUUGUCCAAGUUGAAGAAUUUGUCUCCCUGUGGGUCAGAAUCCAAAACAUCCACCUCACACCGGGCGUUCGGGACUCCAUUAUUUGGAGAUGGACAGCUGACGUCACUUACUCCACCAGAUCAGCUUACAGGAUACAGUUCAAAGGUUCCUAUGGGGGCUUCCGGAGCAACCUCAUCUGGAAGGCUCAUGCAGAAAACAAGUGUAAAGUGUUCGUUUGGAUUCUGGUGAGAGGAAAAAUCCUCACGGCGGAUAACCUGCGAAAGAGAGGAUGGCCACACCAAGACCACUGCGCUUUGUGCGGUGGCCCACUUGAGACAGGGCUGCACAUGGCACUACUCUGCCCAUUCGCCAAAGCAGUAUGGAGCCUUAUUCUACAAUGGGAGCACUUCGAUGCCCAAUUGAUCCUACCAUCUCAGGAUCCAACCCUUUUAAGCUCAUGGUGGGAAGAGGCCGAAACCAAGAUAACUAAGGGGGAAAGAAAUCGUUUCAACGGUAUGGUGAUCUUCACUUUCUGGAAUAUCUGGAAGGAGAGGAACAGAAGAAUUUUCAACAACGUCCAUGAAUCGGCAAUGCAAGUGGCUACAAGGACCAAAGAGGAUAUCGAGCAAAGAAAGAGAGCACUAAAUUGGAGGGGGUAGUAUAUAAGCAAAAUCUGUAACUGUUUCUUUUUACCCUCCAAGACCUUUGUGUACAUAAACUCUUUUUUCCUCUCUUAAUUGAAAGGCAGAGCUCCUGCCAUUGCGUUCAAAAAUAUAGUAUCCAAAAAAUUUUCAUCCACCCACAAGAGCCAAAGUUGCCUUUUUUCUUGGGGAAAUGGGAGAUGUAUAGCCUCAUUGAUGGCUGCCUGCGUCGCAGCUGCCUAAAAAACGAAUUGUAGGAAUGGUUUUAAAUAACUUGUGGAAAUGACCUUUACUCGGUGCAGAACUUCCUGCUCCAUAUGUAUAUGGACUAGUGCAGCCGGUAUUUUUGUCAAGUUCAUGAAACUGGUUUCGACUGCGUGUGGACAAGAGCCCCACCGGCUCUCUCACUCUGGUCAACGACCCUCAAGGCCUCAACCAAUAUCCUGACGUCUACUAGAUCUGUGAUGUGUUUCUAGGGAGCAUCCCACGUAUGAACGUGUUAGAGCACCUGCAAGCCUUGAUGUCAUCUGGUACUAUCACAAGAUUUCUGAAAAUACAACCAUCAUAUAUGCUGGCACCAAGAGACACAUCGUCUCACCACUAUGGCUAAAUACUCCUUCUAGCCCAAUUUCGUCCAAGAGUUUUAUCAAAAGUCCAAUACAUCUGGCUCAAGGGCUUUUCAAUGAAUUAUUAAUGACCAAGAAGUAAUGGGUAUGGCAAUGCUAAGGCCAGUCUCAAUAGAAAGUUUCAUAUUCUAAUUUUCAACACAUCCUCUAACAAAAUUGUAGGUCUUUGUCUUGUACGUAGAUUCUGAAAACAUAUUUGGUUUUCAUCAUAUCCUUUAUGUAUUUAAAGAUAUAAAAAGGUGAAGCAGCACUGCUGCAUUUGACUUGGCGCUUUAUUUGCUGUUUUGUUUGUACUCCCUCAGUCCCAAAAUGAAGGUCGUUUUAGCCUUCAAAAUGUGUCCCAAAAAGAAUGACAUCCCGUACUGCCUUCGUGGGUGCCAGAUCUAUCCCCAUAGCAUGUUUUUUCGGUGCCAGGUCUAUCCCCAUAGCCUGUCUCCCUGCCACACUAUCACCAAAGGCAAGUGUUUUUGUCUGUACAACAAUUAAUGCAAGUGAGUAGGGGUGCAGAGGUCAUUCUCCUCUUUCCUUGGUACUCUCUCCAAAUGCUAGAACGUCAAUUUUUCUGGGACAGAGGGAGUAUGUCAGGUUGGAAAGUAUGAGUGUUUUACCUACUGUUUAUAUUUAUGAAAAUAAGUUCUCUCUCUGAUGUUAUACUACCUAAGCAGGUGGUAAUACUUUGGAUCGCACAUAGAGCGAUCAUCACUUUAUUGGAGACAAGUAAACGUGGCGGUGUCUUCCACUUGCUCCCUUCAUAUAAUGCAAGGAGCCAACGAUCUGACCUCGAACAUCUCGCUUGUGUGGGCAGGUCGCAUAAAUCUAAAACCCCAUAUCCGCGUGCAAGUUUGAGAGGACAGAACACCAUCAAAACUCGAAUAAAAGGAAAAGGAUAUAUGAGACUGAUCAAUAUCUCUCCUCCCUCCUUCAUAUCCUGCAAGGAGCCGGUGAUCUGACAUCGAACAUCCUGCUCGUGUAGGCGGGUCUCGUAAAUCUAAAACCCCACAUCUGCGUGCAAGUUCGAAGAAGCGGAACGUCACCAAAACUCAAAUAAAAGGAAAGCGAGAUAUGCGGCUGAUCAAUUUCUCUCCUCGCUCCCUUCAUAUACCACAAGGAGUUGGCGAUCUGACCUCGAACAUCUUACUCACGUGGGCAGGUCGUGUAAAUCUAAAACCUCGCAAUCCGCACACAAGUUCGAAGAGGAUGUAACACCACUAAAACUCGAAUAAAAGGAAAUGGAGAUAUGCGACCAAUCAGUCUCUCUUCUUGCUCCUUUCAUAUCCUGCAAGGAGCCGAUGAUCUGACCUCGAACAUCUUGCUCGCGCGGGCGGGUCGCGUAAAUCUAAAAUCGUACAUCUGCGUGCAAGUUUGAAGAGGAUGGAACGCCAUCGAAACUCAAAUAAAAAGAAAAGGAGAUAUUGGACCGAUCAUUUUCUCUCCUCGCUCCCUUCAUGUACUACAAGGAGUUGGCGAUCCAACCUCGAACAUCUUGCUCGUGUGAGCAGGUUGCAUAAAUCAAAAACCCCGCAUCCACACGCAAGUUCAAAGAGGACAUAGCGCCAUUGAAACUCGAAUAAAAGAUAAAGGAGAUAUGAGACCAAUCAGUUGAUUUGACCUCGAACGUCUUGCUUGUGCGGGCAUGUCGUGUAAAUCUAAAUCACCACACCCGAGGAAUUACAAAGUAUAUAUGUUGGAUCAAGAGUACACAACACUGCUAUUAUUGACUAUAUAUGUGGAGUUUAUUGUAGCAAAACGCAAAAGGAUGGAUCAUGUAAAUGUAGAGUGUAGAAGCUCUGUGUAGUAAAUGGCAUUUUUGCCACCACAAUACCAUAUUGAAUCAGAAUCAUAUCAGCUAUUUCUUCCCUGCAACAUGGACCUUAGUGCGAUACUCUCCUAGAGCCCAUAUAGGGAAGAUGUUCCUAUACUGGGAGUAACUGAUCAUGCAAUUUUGGCUGAAGACUCCAAUAAUCUCCUGUUGCACACCGUUCAAGUUUAUUAACAAAUAAGAACAUAGUAAAAUUUUACUAAUGAAAAAUGAUCAUUUUGGUAAAUUGACUAUAUUUGAAAUUAACUGGAAGGGAUGAAAAGAGAGUCCUACAUAUAUAUCUAUAAAUUGACAAAGAUCAUUUACGAGACUCAACAUUGUUUUUUUAUGGAAUAGGAGGGGUUAGGCCCCUACUAGAAUUUUAUUAAAAAGACAAAAGCCAUCAGGUACAAUCAUGAAACAAAGAAAGUAAGAAAGAAAAUCAUUAGAUUGCACCAAAAUAUCUAUUCUUUAUCCUAGUUUGUUUUAUAUGUGAUUUCCAAACUACAAUAUACAAGAUUGGCUAAACUCAUGAAAAUUGAGGUGCACUCAACCCUGAUUAAAACGAUAUAGAGUUCUUCAAUUUGAGUCCAGCAUUGGGAAGAUAUCCAAAAGAACAAUAAGGUGUCUAUUGAGCAAAUGUGUUGUUCUACCUAUAUAUAACCUUCUCUUAAUGCUGGAGCUUUUAUAUUACUGUUUAGUCUACGUGAUCCUUUAAUCAUAAGGCCAGGGCAGAAUCAAAAUUUCAUUUUCUCCUUUAGUUUUUAAGACAAGGCUUUAAAUCAAGAAUGUGUGAGAUGGAAGAAAGCACAAAUAUAAAUGGAUGUCUCUCUUGCAUCAGCUAGGACUUAGGAGUUUUAUUACUUGCUGUGGAAAUUCUCCGUCCACUGACUGUAAGUUGAUCAAGACCUUAGCUGCCCGAUGCAGUGGUGUUGGAUCUCUUUCAGCCUGUAACAAUGAGGCAAAGUAUAUCCUUUAGAAAUGUGUACACUGUAUCAAUAAAUUCCAUUAGCCACAUCGUAAAACGAAAAGGUAGACCUGUCCAGCACCAAUUAGGGCCAGCAUGGCCCAAGCUGUGUUGACUGCAUGAGGUCGCAUGCCUUCAAGAUGUGUGUAAACCUGUUUCAAUCCAAGUCAAAGAUGCUCUGGUAGAUAUAGCAGUUGUAGCACUGUUGUACUCUCAAAUAAUCUUCAGUACCAUGACUCUUUAAAUAUAUAAGGUAGCCAGAUGCUCAGGUUGGAACAUUUGAUAAUGAGGGCAGUUACAAGUGAUAAAUGCAUUAUAGCAAACAGAAAUACAAUGUAUAUCAACGGUACAUCUAGUGAGAAAAUCUGAGUUAUUUAAAAAUGAACAAACAGGUUGAUUGAAGCCAAGUUACCUUGUUCUCACAUGACAAAUAGCUUUCUCCCCAACCACCAGAAGGAAGCUCUUUUGACAAUAGAAACUCACAUGCCUUUUUUAUUGCAGGAUUAUUCUUGAACGUCCGGCCAGCACAAACUAACCCCCUCACUGCAAACCAUGUGGCGUGGGUGAAACAAAUGCCCCAAGAUCCGUACCUGUUGGAAAUACAGAUUGUGAAUAAUACACCUAAGUCAUAACUAUCCCGAGGAAGUAGUAUAAUCUCAAGGUGUUCAAAUUAAGUACUGACCAUGAACCAUCGUUUCUUUGCAUACUCUCAAUGAAAUUUGCGCCCUUCCUGAUACAGUUGUACACCUCUUUCUUGCGGUGCCCUGGGUAGAGUUCCUUGAAUAAAGCUAGACAUUGAAUUGAUGCUGAUGUGCAUUCAACAUACCUGUCAAUUUAGUUGUGCAUUUUCUUUUGCUUAUUUUCAUCAUUUAUUACAAAGCAGUAUAAGAAAACCAAGGGCUAUUUAAGCUUACGGGUAAUCAAUCAUUAUGCCCCCAAAGGUCUCGGAAGGAUUAAAUCGCUGCAUUUUGAGAUAAAAUCUGUUAGUAUAGAUAAAAUUUAAUUAACAAUCCACAUUGAUAAAUGUUGUUGCUUUUCAGAUAUGUGCUAGUUUAUUUAUCUCAAUUUUAAUUUAGUUGUUGCAAUACCCUGAGUAUUUAUUAAAAAACAAUGAGACCUUUUACAAUGGUUGGAAUCGUUUCCAAUCGACUCCCAUUGCCUCCGCUAAAAAACUUUUUUUCUUGAUUUAAUUCGUGGAAGGGUAAUAACGUCAUUGUAAAAAGUUCUCUCAAACCUCAACCCCUAUCAUCGGCAGCAUCGGCUCCCGGUGGACGUCGGCGGGUGGAACCCUAAGAAGAUUUUAAAAAAAACUUAAGAAGAAGAUUUUUAUCUAACUAACUAUAGUACUUGAAUCAUACGCCCUAACUAUGCUACUCAAAAUAUUAUUUUUUAAAAUUAUGAAUUUACCCUUUUAGCCUUCACUAAAAAAGAAAUAGAAAAAAAGGAAUUGACACUCCUCUAUUUAGGGUCCCAAUCCCCAUAAUUUCAGAGGCGAUGUGAGGCGAUGUGACGUUUAUGGCCCACCGGCCAUAGACACACCUAUCACCUCCUAUCACCUCGCUUCUCAUCGCCUCUUCAACCAUUGUAAAAAUAUUCAAAAAAAAUUUAUCGACUUGCUGGUAUACUAAAGAAUGGAAGAAAAAGUUACUGUUGGAACCGCCGAUAUCAAUCAUAAGAGACAAUAAUGUAUGCAUAGAAUUUGUUGAGAUAGAUAAGUUUGGCUGGACAUAUAUGUCUUGUUUAUAUUAUGGAUGAGCCCACGGCGAGUCCAAUAAAUUGUGGAAAUGUAGGUGAUUAUUUUUGUUUGGUUCAUGAUUAACUGCCCUCAUGUGUUUCUACAUUAGGAUAGGUCAAAAAUGUGUUAUGGUUGUUGUAUAUCUAAUAACUUGGCUUGUCCCGAUAUUUCACGUGAUACUGCACCAAUGCUGUUUUUUCCCGUCUAGUGUCUACACGCAUUGAUGGUUGUGAUGUACUACAACUGUGCACCUCUCUCUUUCAAUUGAGCACAUGAGAAAGCACAGAAAAAAGUUGACCUGUGGUACUGUGUCAAGCUUAGAAACAGCCUCCCAGAGACAUUAUAAUUAUAGUUAAGAAGAAGCAUUAACCAUAUGGGCCAAGAAAACCAUAAACCUAGGCUUCACCAUAUAGGGCUGCACUGGGGCCGAUCAUGAUCUCCAUGGCUUGCAGCCACUAUAGUUACGCCUUGCAAAAGGCCCAAAACCAACAACAAACACUAUAGUCUAAUACCUAUCACUAUUUAACCAACAACAAACACUAUAGUCUAAUACCUAUCACUAUUUUUCAGAUUGCUAGCGAGGGGAUCUUUUUUUUUUUGUGCCAUCAGGAUUUGAAGCUUGACCAGCGUCUCACUCAAUUAAGGUGCUUACCGCUAGGCUAUGCAGUGUUGGCACAUGAUAAACAAACAAGGAUGUUCUAGAAAGAAAUUAAUUAUCUGACCUCCAACCAUGCAUAUGACCUUGUGAGUUCAAAUGAUGCAAAUCCACCAUUAUCAUUCUGCGAGGUUAAUUAAGACAAAUAUAUCAAACAUGCUCCUCAGAUAGAAAUAUUUGAAAGCUACACCAAAGAGAAACUGCUGCUGAUAAUUAAGGAAACUUUUCAAAAAAAAAAUCUUAAUGAAUAUUUUUAAGUUGGACCAUAGUCCUGCCAGCUGUGUUCCCACACCCCUUUCCUCCUACACCCUUCCCUUGGGACAAAAUUCUUGACCGCACAGAAGGAAGGGAAAUAAACGUUAAAUUCUUGAUCGCAGGGAAGGAAGAAAAAAGACGUCAUGCAAGUAAUAAAGGAAACAAUAAUCAUGUCUGUUCCCCGUGAUUCCUGACCACCACGGAAUGAACGGAAAAAAUGUGCAUGCAAGGAAGGAAACAAUAAUCAAACCAUACAUUGAAGAAAACAAUCAUGUGGUGCCCCCUCUCGCUCGCUCAGUGGCUGCUGAAAAGGGAAAAUAUCAUUGCUACCCAGAUACAAAUAUAUUUCAUCUCCACGUAAACUUGAUUCCGGAUCGAUACCAGGCCAACAUUGACACACCCCUCCCGUCCUUCGCGUGGUGCGCUCUCACGCUCACAGGAGCCGCCACCACCCCACGCCAGGCCCUCGUCGACAAAGCCCGAUGCCACCCUGACCCGCUAACAAUGCCGUAACACCCCCUCCUCGUCCAACAGCCAUGCCGUCGACCGCCAGACACUAGAGGACAGACGAGUGCGAAGAAGCCUUUAACAAUACUGCGCUAAUAGUCAAGGUGACUAUAAGGCGUGGUUUACGAUUUCAUCCUAUUCUUGAUGAUAGAUUUUUUUCUUCAAUUUCUUUACUCAGUGAAUGAUUUUAUUUUAAUUGGAUAAGCAUGAAAAACACUACUAUAAGAUGAUUGUUGCAUCAAAAAAAGAUUAUGCAAAUUUUGUUUAAUUAUGUUCCUUUGCGAAACGAGGUGCUAUUGGAACCUGCUCAUAUGACUACAUCCUACCAUGCCUUACACCAUAUCAGUCUUGCAUCUCCAUAUUCAUAGGUGAGAUAAUUUCUAGAAUUAAUUCUUUGUGUGUUUCUUUUAAUUAAUCUUCAAAUCCUUGAGGUUUGAGUCAAGCACUCUCUGAAGCUAGAGUUGGGAUUGAACAUCCGAAAACAAACAUUCAUGCCAUCAAGAUAGAAUGAGUAAUGCGGCACUGGUAUCUCGAUUUUCUAUGUAGCCAAAUAAUAUCUCAAAAAUGCAUUUGUUCAAUAUCCUAGAACUUGAAUGCCGAACUAAUUCAUAUCAGUCUACGUAAGACACUAAUGCAUAUAAUGUAUUUUUCCAUUCAAUUUAUAUUGUACAAAUAUUAUUUCACUAUGCAUUUGUUGUUUCUGUAUACACACUACGUGUCAACUAAAAAAAUCAUCCGUACAUCUUAGAUUUACAUUUGAAGAAAAAUGCCAUGUAACACAUUUAUAUAAAAUAGAGUUUGUGAGCCUACAACGCCGCGCUCUCCGUGAUUACGUUAAUUUCAUAAAUUUUAUUUUUGAUUAAAUGUGAUGUUAAUGUUGGUAUUUAAUUUUUAUAAUAUUAUUAUCUUAUCAUACGAUUCAUAUGUUUUAGUAUAAAAUAUUUUUAUCCCGUAGCAACGCACUGGUACACUACCAAAUUCAAAAAAAAAACAAAAACAAAAACCACGACAUCAGGAUUGCAUCUACCCUGAUAAAGUAUAGAGUUUGUGUGGCUCGGAAUUGCACACUCUAUUUUUUUAGGGGAAAUUGCACUCUCUAAUUGCCUUUUCACAACUGAAAGGGAUUAAAAAAAAGCGAGAAGUGCAUGUCCAGUUCCCACAUUUGUGAGGAUAUGCUAUGCCCAUCCUCACUCUCAAAAUUGUGUCUUAGUGGUCAUCUAAAGAGGGAUUUCAACGAUGCAUGUGUGUUUAUGACUUCACAAUUGUUUUAAGGUCUUCUUUACUUCCAUCCCAAAACCUAAAUUUUUUUAAGAUUUUACGUCACAUCGAAUCUUUAGAUGUAUAUAUGGAGUAUUAAAUAUAAACAAAAAUAAAAACUAGUUGCACAGUUUGGUUAGAAUUUACGAGACUCUUUGGAGUCUAGUUAUUCUAUGGUUAGACAAUAGUACAGUGUCACGAUUUUUUUUUUCUUUAGAAAGUAAACACGGCCUAAGGCCUAGAAAGAUUGUGGCCCGUUUGUUGAGUGUUAGUAGCUUGCAAAGCGCAACCAGCUUCCGUCGAAGUCCAACCUACGGCCCAUCAAUCAACAUGUAAACGCCCCAAAACCCGAACCCCAAAAUUUCCCGUUUCCCACCAGAAAUCCAAAACCAAACUUGCGACGCGCGCUCACCACGUCCCAUGCUCCAGUUCCCCACGCGCGCCGCCCGCCACGCGCUGCUCGAUCCGCCCUCCCGCUCCUCGGCCAAUAGGAGCCGAGCCAUCCGCAUCCAACGGCUGGCGCCACCCCUCACGCGGAUCGCGCCCCGAUCCGACGCCUCCCAGCUCCUCUCCCGCCUCUAUAUUUAUCCCCAUCCCCCAUCUCCAGCUCCAAUUCGCAAGCUCACCCGCGCCAACAGCAAACCGAUCGAAAAAUCCCCAAUCCUAUCUCCGCGGCGAAGAUGUCGGGGCGCGGCAAGGGCGGCAAGGGCCUGGGCAAGGGUGGCGCGAAGCGGCACCGGAAGGUGCUCCGCGACAACAUCCAGGGCAUCACGAAGCCGGCGAUCCGGAGGCUGGCGCGGAGGGGCGGCGUGAAGCGCAUCUCGGGGCUCAUCUACGAGGAGACCCGCGGCGUGCUCAAGAUCUUCCUGGAGAACGUCAUCCGCGACGCCGUCACCUACACCGAGCACGCGCGCCGCAAGACCGUCACCGCCAUGGACGUCGUCUACGCGCUCAAGCGCCAGGGCCGCACCCUCUACGGCUUCGGCGGCUAGGCUGGCCGCGCCUCGCCCCUCUCCUCGCACUGCCUGUCAGCCUGUGUCGCCG
rnacentral:lncRNA from 1 species